rnacentral:lncRNA from 1 species
UGUCGCUGUUGCACUGUGGUGGUAGGGGGAACAGGAAGUUCCGGUAGACGCACACCAUUCUUUAGAAUAAACAAAACGCCUGAGCUGUGCUCUCAUUUUCUCUUUAUCGCUACAGAUUAAGUCUGAGGCCGGUAACAUCAACAGUGAGGCAAGACCCCAGCCUGCCUCUCUCCAUCUACACUGAGUAGAAACCUACAGUCACUGGGUCCUGAUUGUGACAGUGGAGCCCAGUUUGCACUGUAGGAUCCAGAGAUGGCAUCAGUGAAGCUGGAAGACUGCAGUCMAACACUGRAGCUGAAUGUCAUCAUUAAAGAUGAAGAAGAGGAGGAGAAGAUUGGUCUGAGGCCGGAAACAAUAAACAGUGAGGACAAACCCACGCUGCCCUUUCCUUCCACACUGAAUCCAAACCUACAGUCACUGGGUCCUGAUUGUGUCAGUAGAGCCCAGUUUUUACAGCAGCGAUCCAGAGAUGGCAACGUGAAGCUGGAAGACUGCA